AACCGCCCUCUUCCAAGCUGUAAGCUUUGUUUGAGAAGCCUCGAAACCCAAAGCAUGUACCCACUUUUUCUUUCUUUUUUUCUUUUUUUUUUCUUUCCUUUUUUCUGCUUGGGGCUUUGCCUCGCUUCUGCUUCAGUGUAAAUCAUGGCUCUCUUCCCAUUUUCCCUUGCUCUUGAACAAGGGAAAAAUAGAAAGGGCCCUCCUUUUUGCCUUUGAAAUCAGUACCCAUAGCCCUAGAUUCUUGAAACACCCUGUAUAUUUUCAUAUCCAAUUCCACCACCGACCUUCGUCUUCUGUCCUUUAUUUCUAGGGUUUCUUUUUUCAAACUUUUCGCUGCUUUUCUUUUUCGGGGUUUGGUAUGGUUGUUAGGGGUACUAGUGUCGGGUGUCAAUUCUAAUUAGGGGGGCUGUAUUGCCAAAUUUCAAGAAUUCAUUGGAUCGUUAUUAGUUAGGGUUUUUCUAGGGUUUUGGUUUUGGUUGUUAAGAUGAAGCCAGGUGUUUAUUGCAUAGACUGUAGCAUCACUUGAUCGUUAUCGUAAUCCAAUCUGGUCCGUCUUUUAGCAGAAUCUUCUUCGUCUUUUUUUUCUGCCUUUUUUGGGUUUGAAUCGGGUUCUUUUUUUUGGGUGGUGUUUUUAUUUCUUUUUGUUGGGAAUUCAUGGCGUAUCAGCCGAUUCCGGGUCCGAGUUCUGGGUCCAGUUCGAGUUCCGGGUUUCAAUUCUUGAAUUCCCCUUUUGGAGAUACUACGUACACCAAGGUGUUUGUGGGAGGAUUGGCGUGGGAGACUCAGAGCGAGACUAUGCGCCGAUACUUUGAGCAGUUCGGUGAGAUCCUUGAGGCCGUUGUCAUCACCGAUAAGAACACUGGCCGAUCGAAGGGUUAUGGUUUUGUGACUUUCCGGGAUCCCGAAUCUGCAAGGAGAGCCUGCCUGGAUCCAGCUCCAAUUAUUGAUGGUAGACGGGCUAAUUGUAAUUUGGCUUCACUUGGACGACCCCGACCAUCUAUGUCUUAUGGACGUUUGAGACCAGUCACCCCUUACCUUGGAAGUGUGCCAGCCACCCGGGGAAGCUAUGUUGGAAAUUUUGGCUACCAGCAACCAGUUUCUUACAGUUACCAGCAAGGAUUUAUGUACCCUUCAUAUGGGAAUGCAAAAAGUGGUAGUUGCGGAGGAUAUGUGCCCCAGCUCAAUGUUUGCCCUUGGACAGAUAUGCAGCAUAUGGACCUGAAUAUGUCUAUCCACAGGGUGUUUACAAUCCUUAUCCAGGCCAGCAAUACCUUCAGAUAUAUGGGGUGCCUGGGACGGUUAAUACAGCUAUUUAUCCUUAUGGACAAUUGGGUCAGACUCUUCCCAGCAGUCAUGGUUAUACAACGGUACAGGGUUAUGCAAUGCCAGGUCAUCAGUUCAUGCAAUUUGGUGGGUCCAGUGUCAAUGCCAUAUCAACAUCGCCUAUUCCAACAAUUCAGGCACCCUAUCCUACAGGUAUAGCCGCACCUGUUCCAGCACAACCACAGUUUAUAGUUCCUGCUCAUUCUCCUCAGUUCAUUCAAGGUAGCGGUCCUGACCAAACAACUGGGUGAGGGGUUGAUCAAGGUAUCCUUAGAUUGCAGCAGGACUAAGAGCAGCUGUACUGCUACUUGAGUGGCGGGCUUCAGAUCUAGCCUUGCAAAUUAUCCAUUUCGCAUUCUAGAGGUACAAUUCAUUUCUAUUCUACACAUGAAUGCAACUUUUAACAUUCAGUUUGUUAAACUUCAGUGACAGAGAAUGAACUGACCUAUGUUACCAUAGAGAUCUUUAGGAUCAAGCCAAUAAUUCCCAAUAGGCACAUGUUGGAGAUCAGGCCUAAAGAUCAAUUCACUGGUGCCUUAGAUUUUUCUGUGACCACUUUUGAUGGUCUGGUACCAUAUUAAACCAACUUUUGUGGUUAGACAAGUCUUAAAAUCAGCAUCAUAAAUCUUUAGUUGCAAAAAGAUGUGACGAAAGACCUGUUUGGUGAAGCUCCAGCAUCUAGUGAUGUGGUCCCUUGGGAAGAGCCUUGCAGAGUCGAAGUUGGUACCCAAAAUGAGUAGAAGUUUUUAAGUUUAGAAACCUUGCCAUGCAUCCUUUUCUGCAAAGUCUUUAAACCCUACACUGCUUCUAGCCUUGCAAUCCUCUAUGUUUUAAAUGUUUUAGCAUGUAACCAAAUAUUGGUCUAUGGGCUGUGGUUUGUUGGGGAAGAGGAGUUCACUGGCUAGCAAUGGCCACUCAUGGAAAAGAGAAUUUCUGAUUCUAUGUUUACUCUCCACUUCUCUCUUUUCCUCUGAUUUUAUUUCUUGAUUUAUCCACCUCUAGUUAGGCUGGAUUAAUCAUUGGAAAAUGUUAAGAAUUUGAGUUUAGGAAUUUUUGUGUAGAGCCCUCACAGUUUGCACUGUACUAGCGGCUGUUAUUGUACUUCAUUAUACUCAGGAAUGCACCAUCAAAACAAUGCAAUAUCGCAAGGCAAGCUUUCCUAAAAUUUUCUACAGGCAUAGUGUGGUUGUGAACUGAUGACAACUUAUUCUGGCUGUGGUAAGUUAUGAGAAGGAUGAAACUGUAGUUCUGAGGGAUGGAGGUCACAAAAUCAGGGAUGAGGAUGGAAAUUGCAGAUUCUGAUUGAAAAAAAAAAACGAAAAAAUUGCAGAAGGCAAGGAUGUAUAUUGAGGACCAAAAAGAGGAGGAUGAACACCAUGGCCACAUGCAAACACACCCAACCCCUCUCCCCCCACAAAAAAAGAACACAAACACUCUUAUCAUGCACAUGUCCAGUAGGAGCUGGUGGUUCAUCAAAAUAGGUAUAGGCCUUUACCAUGAAUAACUCAUCUUCUCCUAGUCUUGUUCCAUACCUCCCACAUGAAUGUGGAGAUUUUUGAAAAAAUAGCCAAAAAGAUUGUCGCCCUGAGAGCUGUUCCAAGGGAGUAUAGGUAGCAGUGUUGGGAAAUAGGUCAAAUUCACAAGGUCUUUGACUCAAUGUUGCUAUGCUGGGCUGGUUUCAGAUUCAUUUGCUUCCAGCCAGCCCAGUUCUGGUUUUGAGAUUAUAAAGGUUAACACCCAAAAACUUUUGACUCAUUAAUUUCUUCUAUUUAAUUUCUGCAGCAGAUUUGGAUGAACUUAACUUUAUAUUUUGCAGGUCAUACAUAGUCAUGCUCACCAGAGAAGUCGGAUGUCUGAGUCGCUCCUGAUGGCGGAGAAGGAACCAUGGAAGUUGCGGGUUGCUCUUCCUUUACCCUAGUGUAUCUAAACCCUCAUAUACUGUCAGUGCUCAAAUUACUGGCAGCAUGAUGGACUAAUGGAAGCUGGAAUCGGUUUCUGGCAACCAAGUAGGAAUAAAACUUUUUUUUUUUUUUUUUAAGAAAAAAAAAGGGAAAAAGAUCAGCAUGUUAGAAUCAAGAUAUGAUUCUUUUAUAGUCUAGUCCCAGCAUUUGGGGUGUAUAGAUAGUCUCUGGUGUUGGUGUGUUGGUGCAUUCUGCAUUGUAUCCUAAAUGAUGUUAUUUUCUUUGUGCAUAUUAGUAGUUGGGGUUUUAUUGAAAAAAGCUCAACUCUGUAGUUUGGGAUGAUUUUGAGAGCCCUGACUCAUAUUGCAUGGGAAAAGCUCCAGGUCUCUUACUAUAUUUUAGCGAAAAGAAAGAAUCUUGCUGUGUGUACUAAAGUUUCUUUUGUACCCUGUGUCCCCGUUUCUAAGCCCAGCCUCAAAUGAGAAAAGGCAAGCUCAGAAAUUUUUCAAUUAACAUUUUUUGGUGCAUUCAGUAGGGCCAAGUUCCUGCGAGGGGGGAAAUUAUUUUUUUCUUGCUGGUCCGCAAAAAAGAAAAAAAAAUAUAUCAGAGUUGGAAAAUAGAAAAUUGCCAUAUAUCAUUUUUCACUAUUUUUUGAUUUGUUAUAUUUGGAAUGGAAUGGGAACUGAGUGAGUUUUCCCUGUCAUGGUUGGCUCCGUUUGUAAAAUAUUAUUUCCCAGGCCUGUUGGAAAUUCUGGAAUAGAGAAUAAAGAUUAUCAUGUUUGGAUUA